GGGGUUGUAGCUCAAAUGGCAGAGCGCGUCAUUAGCAUCUUCGCUCGGUUGAUCCGGCGAGCGUUCUUGACGAGGUAGUGAGUUCGAUCCUUACCAACUCCA